rnacentral:lncRNA from 1 species
CUGGUGGUGGCUGGUGGCGAGGGGCCCACGAAUUUGAAAAUCUUUGACAAACACGACGAAGUAAACGUGAUAGAGCAGGAACCUAGGUGCCGGGUGGGGCCCGCUAGGUGACUGACGUUUCGUCUCCGGUUUGUUUUUCGUUUGCGGGUUUGACAUUUUUUUUAAGCGAGUGAAAUUCUUUGCUUUAUUUUUGGUUGGGACUUGGGACUUUUGUUAAACCGUCCGAUGAGUCUUCGCUCAUCCAACGGCUGCGUAGCACUGUUAGUGGUUGACCAAAGAAAUAAUUAAUUAUUCUAAUGAAUGCGCAUAUGAAGUGGAGAUUUUCUUUUCGGACGCGUGCUUUAGAAUUUCAACCAUUUGAGAGACAGGUAGAAAUUUGGCGUCAAAAGAAUAUUAUGCAUGGUCGAGUAAGAAGGGGGCCGUGG